rnacentral:rRNA from 1 species
UGGGGAAUAUUGGACAAUGGGCGAAAGCCUGAUCCAGCAAUGCCGCGUGAGUGAUGAAGGCCUUAGGGUUGUAAAGCUCUUUUACCAGGGAUGAUAAUGACAGUACCUGGAGAAUAAGCUCCGGCUAACUCCGUGCCAGCAGCCGCGGUAAUACGGAGGGAGCUAGCGUUGUUCGGAAUUACUGGGCGUAAAGCGUACGUAGGCGGUGACUCAAGUCAGAGGUGAAAGCCUGGAGCUCAACUCCAGAACUGCCUUUGAAACUAGGUCGCUAGAAUCACGGAGAGGUGAGUGGAAUUCCGAGUGUAGAGGUGAAAUUCGUAGAUAUUAGGAAGAACACCGGUGGCGAAGGCGGCUCACUGGCUCGAUACUGACACUGAGGUGCGAAAGCGUGGGGAGCAAACAGGAUUAGAUACCCAAGUAGUCCCUGAGCGGGCUGGCAAGGCGCAU